GGACUCACAUCUGAAACCGAGAAAAAGCUGGUUGUUGAGCUAGCACAGCUGGGUGGAAGCACCUGCAAAAUGGCCGUCAAGCGCAUGCUCUGCCACCUCCUAACCAAUAACCUGGGAAUGCUGUACAGUUGGCUAGGUAACAAAGGAAAGGAGAGGUUCAGGGAUCUUAAGACGGUCAACAUCAUUUUGCGUCGACACUCCUUGGUAGUCACGUGCACGUCCAAGCUUAAAAGGGGAGUCCAA